UGGGUUCGAGCCCCACGUUGGGC
rnacentral:piRNA from 3 species